UCCAAGCCUUUCAACAUUUUAAAAUAGGAGCCGCUCUCUUUCCGAGAGCAGAACUAAGACGUGAGCAUAAGAAUCCUUAUUCCGCUGCAAGUUGAGUUUGGUUUCGUAAUUCAGUCAUCGGAGAACUAGAGAUUGAGAACAAAAACAAAAACAAACAAACAAAACAAAAAAAACAAAAAAAAGGGGAGCGCAUCUUGGCCAACGUGGGAACGAAGACUUGCAGGAAAGUCCUCCCCCAGGACCCCGAGUCCGCAAACGCGCCGGGGACGCUGCGCUCCGCCCGGCCGCCUCGCCGCUCCCUGUGCCGCCGGGGACGGAGCCCCCGGGGCAGCUCAGCCUCCGCGGACGAGCCCGGCGGGCGCAGGAACCAGCCGCCGGAACCAGCCGCCGGGAGCCGGCCGGACGGCCCGCGGGACGGUCACCCGGCCGCGCCCCCCGCCCUUUAUUCCCGGACGUGAGCGGCGCCACACCGGCCUCCGCUCGCGGGCUCGCAGCGGACCGGGAUCCACGCCCACCCCGGGCCCCACGCCCCGCGCCCCGGACCGGGGGCCAGAGAGGCGAGCAGCCGCCACGCGCGGGCAAGUUGGAGACUUACCUUCCCCGGAUGCGCUACACCAUCAAUGGAGAGAGAGGAAGGAAGAGGGAUUGAAACAUCAGUGAGAGAAUCAUUGAUCCGCUGCCUCCUACACACCCUCUACUGGGGAUCUCAUGUGCCCUGACCAGGAAUCCAAAUGUGACCUCCCACAACCACUGAACCACACUGGCUGGAGCAACAUUUUCUUUUAGGAAAAAUUUAACUAGCAGAUAUUAUUGGACUGUGACCCGCGAGACCUAAAAACAAAUAGGACUUUGCCAUUACCUUUCCAAGUAAUUUUUUAAAUGUUUUAAUUGAAUGUAUUGAGGGUGACGUUGGUUAAUAAAAUUAUAUAGGUUUCAGGUGUACAAUUCUAUAAUACAUCAUCUGCAUAUUGUGUUUAGUGUGUUCACUGCCCGAAGUCAAGUCUCCUUCCAUCACCAUUUAUCCCUCUAUACCCUCUUCUACCUCCGCUCCACCCAAGCCCAGGAACUUUAAGGAAGAAGAACCCUGUCUGCUGCAAUCCUUCAGCUGUGAAACGGGAAAACUGGUUAAUACUGCCUUAUAUACCUAAUAAUGUGAGAACUGAAUUCUCACAGCAUAAUAGAUUCAAUAAACAGCUCUCCACAUCCCAGAUAUGGAUGAAACUAUUCAACAUCAGUUUGGAAAUAGGGGUAAAGGGUAUUAGAUGGCUUUGGUUUCAUUCAAAAUCCACAUUUACAGGAGCACGAUUUCUCACCAAGGUUCAGUGGGUGCUGGGCAAAUGGACAUCGCGUCCCAGAUGAUGCCUGUGGACCCUGUGGGUCAUGCAGCAGUGACGAGAGGGGCUCCGGAGAUCUGGAAACUACAUUCACUGUGAAGUGGGUCUGGUUACCAACACGCUGACAGAUGCAUUUGAAGGAAUCUGUGCUCCACUGAACCACAUCAGACGCAGUGGAGUGACGCCUUCUCUGAGUCACUUGGAGCCAGCCAGUGCCCCAGCAUGCUGCCCAAGGACACUGAGCCGUUUUCUGGACGAGGUCUAAAUCCAGCAUCUGACUUCUGACCACUAGUGGUUACCGAAAAGUCUCCUAGGGCUUUGUGGGAGAAUUAAGGGGAGGAGACGCUGAGUUUCAUUGUCCUGGCCUAGUUCCAAGUCUGAUCAUUACAUUAGCAGGCCUCCUCCUUUGUCUGCGAUCUCGCCGAGACGUGCUAGUCCACAGCCCCUUAUAAACAGCUGUCCACUGUGAGCCGAGUGAGCCAGAGAGCCAGCAAGUUCCACCCUGGGGGACGCUGCGUUUCAAGGUAAACACUUCCUCCACAUCUAUCCGUAAAUUACUUACAUUUACGUUGGAGAAAAGGCAUGGUUUUCUAAGGAAAAUGAGGGCGUAAUUAUGGGGAGUUAAAAAUGAUCCACAAACACGAUUUUGUCUAAAUGGUGAACAAAGAAAACUGGCGUUGGUCACAAAGGGGCCCUCGGGAGGAGGAGUCCAGAAGAAAUGAUGCAUUGUAGAGUCUCACGGGUCAUUUGGGGGAUCCAGAAUUUAACCAUACAGCAUUGAUGUGGCAGGUGCUGUUGCCACCAACAUUCACUUAUUUUUUUUAAUAUUUUUUAUUGAUUUUUUACAGAGAGGGAGAGGAUAGAGAGUUAGAAACAUCAAAGAGUGAGAAACAUCGACCAGCUGCCUCCUGCAUACCCCCUACUGGGGAUGUGCCUGCAACCAAGAUACAUGCCCUUGACUGGAAUCGAACCUGCCAUUCGGUCCGCAAGCCGACACUCUAUCCACUGUGCCUAACCGGUCAGGGCAACAUUCGCUUCUUUAGUCCAAGCAUAUUAUACACACAGAGCAAACAGGCAGGUAACUCUAACCCAGGAGAAAUUUCAGCCCCUGCAUCCACACUUCGGUGUCUCUGUGUUGGGCAUGUCUGGGCACUCACUUGAAUGCCUCCCUCUUUUGCAUUCAACAUGUAAGACAUUUUAAUUUUAAAAUACCCACAUUCCCAGCCCUCUCAACUCCUAACACAACAACUUCCAGCAUAAAUUCUGCUAUGUUAUUUUUUUUUUCUUAAAAAGAGCGUUUUAACUUGGAAGCAUCCAAAAUUCCCUUCUAUAAGGGAAUGGAUAAACUGUGGUUCAUCCAUUCUAUGGAAUAUUAUUCAGCACCAAAAAUAAAUGAGCUGCCAAGCCAUGGAAAGGCAUGGAAGAACCUUAAAGGCAUUACUAAGCGAAAGAAACCAAUCUGACAAGGCUGCAUGAUACUGUGUGGUUCCAACUACAUGACAUUCUGGGAAACACAGAACUAUGUCUGGGAAAGACAUUGUGAGAAAGGAAGGAAAGGCAGUGGUUGGCAGGGAUGCGGGGGUGGCGGGUGAACAGGUGGAAUACGGGGUUUUAGGGCAGUGAAACUGAUCUGUAUGAUACUAUAAAGCAGCGGUUCUCAACCUGUGGGUCGUGACCCCUUUGGCGGUCGAACGACCCUUUCACAGGGGUCGCCUAAGACCA